rnacentral:rRNA from 1 species
AUUGAACGCUGGCGGCAGGCCUAACACAUGCAAGUCGAGCGGAUGAAGGGAGCUUGCUCCUGGAUUCAGCGGCGGGCGGGUGAGUAAUGCCUAGGAAUCUGCCUGGUAGUUGGGGAUAACGUCCGGAAACGGGCGCUAAUACCGCAUACGUCCUGAGGGAGAAAGUGGGGGAUCUUCGGACCUCACGCUAUCAGAUGAGCCUAGGUCGGAUUAGCUAGUUGGUGGGGUAAAGGCCUACCAAGGCGACGAUCCGUAACUGGUCUGAGAGGAUGAUCAGUCACACUGGAACUGAGACACGGUCCAGACUCCUACGGGAGGCAGCAGUGGGGAAUAUUGGACAAUGGGCGAAAGCCUGAUCCAGCCAUGCCGCGUGUGUGAAGAAGGUCUUCGGAUUGUAAAGCACUUUAAGUUGGGAGGAAGGGAAGUAAGUUAAUACCUUGCUGUUUUGACGUUACCAACAGAAUAAGCACCGGCUAACUUCGUG